UUCCCUAUGGGUCCUGCCCAGCUGGGGUGGAAGGGGCUGAGCCCCAUGUGUUGCCUCCCCAGGACUGUCCUGCGGCCAAGAGGGACACCAGGAUCCUGCAGAUUGUGAGUGCUGGUGCCAGCACAUCGAGGGUAUCUGUGAGAGCAUCGUGUGCUGCAGCCCCCCGGCCCUGCUGGACCGCAGGGCUGUGCUGCAGCGUGUGGAGCUGCAGGGCAGCCCCCCCGUGUCCCCUGGCACCCUGAUGCUGCCCUGUCCCCUAACGCCACCCUCCGAGCCCUUGGGGGGCACCCCCCAGCUCUUCACUGCCCCACUGGUGAGUCCCCACCGGCCCAGUGCCCCCCAGUGCCCCCCAGUGCCCCCCAGUGCCCCCAGUGCCUGGCAUCCCCUCACACCUCCCUCCUGUCCCCUCCCAGGGCCUCAGCAUCACCUCCACCAUCUCCUGCCUGCACUUUGUGUCUGCAGCUACCUCGGAGGCCUUGGCUGCCCACAGGGGCCUCAUCCUGCCCGGAGAUGAGAUCGUGCAGGUCAAUGAGCAGACUGUGGUGAGCUGGAGAGCACAUGGAUACGAGGGUGGUGUGGGUCUAACAGUCAUGGAUGGGGAGCUGCAGGGUGGGAAGGAUGUGGGGGGCACGGGGCCCGUGGGGGGG
rnacentral:lncRNA from 14 species